GUGCUGGCUUUGGUGGCACAUAUACCAAAACUGGAGUGAUACAGAGAGAAUAAACAUGGCCCCUGUGCAAGGAUGACAUGCAAAUGCAUGAGGCGUUCCAUAUUUUU
ensembl:snRNA U6 U6 spliceosomal RNA